UACGUAGGGGGCAAGCGUUGUCCGGAAUUAUUGGGCGUAAAGAGCGUGUAGGCGGCCAGAUAAGUCCGCUGUGAAAUCUCGAGGCUCAACUUCGAGCUGUCGGUGGAAACUAUCUGGCUAGAGUCCGGAAGAGGAGAAUGGAAUUCCUGGUGUAGCGGUGAAAUGCGCAGAUAUCAGGAAGAACACCAGUGGCGAAGGCGGUUCUCUGGGACGGUACUGACGCUGAGACGCGAAAGCGUGGGGAGCGAACAGG
rnacentral:rRNA from 1 species